rnacentral:rRNA from 1 species
UACAGAGGGUGCGAGCGUUAAUCGGAAUUACUGGGCGUAAAGCGCGCGUAGGCGGCUUUGCAAGUCGGGUGUGAAAUCCCCAGGCUUAACCUGGGAACUGCAUUCGAGACUGCAUUGCUAGAGUAUGGGAGAGGGAAGUGGAAUUUCCGGUGUAGCGGUGAAAAUGCGUAGAUAUCGGAAGGAACAUCAGUGGCGAAAAGCGACUUCCUGGACCAAUACUGACGCUCAUGUGCGAAAACGUGGGGGAGCAAACAGG